rnacentral:rRNA from 1 species
UACGGAGGGAGCUAGCGUUGUUCGGAAUUACUGGGCGUAAAGCGCACGUAGGCGGCGAUUCAAGUCAGAGGUGAAAGCCCGGGGCUCAACCCCGGAACUGCCUUUGAAACUAGAUCGCUAGAAUCUUGGAGAGGUCAGUGGAAUUCCGGGUGUAGAGGUGAAAUUCGUAGAUAUUCGGAAGAACACCAGUGGCGAAGGCGACUGACUGGACAAGUAUUGACGCUGAGGUGCGAAAGCGUGGGGAGCAAACAGG